rnacentral:rRNA from 1 species
UACAGAGGGGGCAAGCGUUAUUCGGAAUUAUUGGGCGUAAAGGGCGCGUAGGCGGCUUUUAAAGUGAGGGGUGAAAUCCCUGGGCUUAACCGAGGAACUGCCUGUCAGACUGGAAGGCUUGAGACCGGGAGAGGUGAGUGGAAUUCUCGGUGUAGAGGUGAAAUUCGUAGAUAUCGAGAGGAACACCGGUGGCGAAGGCGGCGAUCUGGACGAUGACUGACGCUGAGACGCGAAAGCGUGGGGAGCAAACAGG